AGGGCAUCUUCUCCAGGCUGGGCUGGAACUUGAAGUUCUCCUGCCUCAGCCUCCCGGAGUCCUGGGAGUAUACCGCCGGCGGCUGGACCUCUGACUUCUCACCUAUAAAACACACAUGCCCCGGCCCGCGCAGGCAGAUCUGGAAGGAAGUCGGCCACCUGUGUCCGGAAGACUCAGGAGUUCGAGUCAAG
rnacentral:lncRNA from 1 species